GGGGGCGAAAUGGUUUCGACGGGGAUAAUGAAACCCAGGUUGCAUACCGAGCUUCCUGUCUGCUCGUUAAACGAUGGGAAAUAACUUAAUCGCAGACGAUUAUAACUACGCUGUAGCCGCUUAAGACGGCUACCGUCCUUUCAGGAAACUCCUGCGGUCCUGAAAAGGGCGUCGACUAGCAGGACAGCCGUUUCAACUUGCCUGUUGCUGAACCGGUUAAAUUAAACAGGAUAGUUUAUAGGGCAUCCGGCCUGAAGGAGACCCGAUAAGCGAAACUCAAAAUUCAGGACAUGUAUGUAGACGCCUGUGUGGACUAUUUUCGGACCCGGGUUCAACUCCCGGCGCCUCCACCA
rnacentral:tmRNA from 1 species